rnacentral:rRNA from 1 species
AUUGAACGCUGGCGGCAUGCUUUACACAUGCAAGUCGGACGGCAGCACAGAGAAGCUUGCUUCUUGGGUGGCGAGUGGCGAACGGGUGAGUAAUAUAUCGGAACGUACCGAGUAAUGGGGGAUAACUAAUCGAAAGAUUAGCUAAUACCGCAUAUUCUCUGAGGAGGAAAGCAGGGGACCUUCGGGCCUUGCGUUAUUCGAGCGGCCGAUAUCUGAUUAGCUAGUUGGUGGGGUAAAGGCCUACCAAGGCGACGAUCAGUAGCGGGUCUGAGAGGAUGAUCCGCCACACGGGGACUGAGACACGGCCCAGACUCCUACGGGAGGCAGCAGUGGGGAAUUUUGGACAAUGGGCGCAAGCCUGAUCCAGCCAUGCCGCGUGUCUGAAGAAGGCCUUCGGGUUGUAAAGGACUUUUGUCAGGGAAGAAAAGGCUGUUGCUAAUACCGACAGCUGAUGACGGUACCUGAAGAAUAAGCACCGGCUAACUACGUG